AUCUGGAGGGCCCACAUCCCUCCGAAGAUCAAGAUUUUUCUUUGGCAAGCCUCUCGCGGGCGGCUGCCAGCUGGUGACCAAAUCCGCAACCGCAAUGGCCCUGGCUCUGAUUGUUGUGCGCUCUGUGGGCAAAGAGAAGAUACGAAGCAUAUUUUCUUUAACUGUGUCCUGGCUAAGCUUUUCUGGUGCUGUAUCAGAUCGUGGUUGCAUGUUUCUUGGCGAACUUCCUCCUUCUCAGACCUUCGACUCUUGGCUUCCAACCUGGUCAGGGCCCAGAGAAGAAUGCUUUGGGUGGGAGUGGCAGCGAUGUGUUGGACUCUUUGGACGAGAAGAAACAAGUUUACGAUUGAACUUAUUUUUUCUGCUAAACUUGCUGAUUGCUUAUUUAAAACUUGCAUAUUCUUGCAGCAGUAG
rnacentral:rRNA from 1 species